rnacentral:lncRNA from 1 species
UUUCAAUGUUCUAGUUACUUUUAUAAGCAUUUUCUAUCUUAAGAUUAUAUUCUUCAGUCCUGAGUGCUUUUUCCCCUCUUAUAUAAUUUCCUCUGUUAUCUCUUUCUGAAGCUUAUAUUACUUAUAUAUUGGAUCUCAGAUAUUGUCUAUUUUUAAAAAUGUAUCUUAUAUUCACUUCUGAUACUUCUAAUACUUCUAAUACUUCCAGUAUUUCUAUUAAACUUUUACUUUUCUAUCAUCAUAUUUUUAAUUCCCAAGAGCUUUAAUUGGUGGGGAGGAGAGUACUCAAUUCUAAAAUUUCUCUUCUUAUAGUAUCCUGUUCUUAUUUCACAAAUAUAGUAUCAUCUCUUUUUUUAUCUGAGAAUUUUAACUUACAUAAUUUGUAGAGCUAGAUGAAUCCUUUGAUCAUUUAGUACUAUUCCUCCAUAGACUCGUGUAUAGGUUAGCCCCUCUCCCCUCAACUUAAAAACAAAACCCUAUCUCAAAGAAUAAAAAAGAACUAGUGAUGUAGCUCAGUGGUAAAGUACCCUUAGAUUCAAGUAACAGGGAGGGAGAGGAAAGAAGAGGAGAGGAGAGGAGAGGGGAGAGGAGGGGAGGGGUGGAGAGAAGAAGAGAGGUAUUUUGGUUUAUGCCAGGCUGUUCUCAGCCAAGCCUCCAUGUCCACAGUUCUAGUGGCAAUGACUGAGAAGCACUAUACCCAGACCAUUAUAUAUUAAACAACCCCAGUGAGACCAAAGCAGAAAUGGUCUCAGGAAUAUUCAGAAGAGUGGACUUUCAUCCUGAGUCUGAGUUAGAUCUGAAAAGGUGUUUUCAUGAUUAGCAGGGUAGCUAUUCUGAAAUUAGAACAAUAUUGUGCUUUGUACGAGACAAACAAGAUGGCAGGUAAAGGUAGGGGGAGGAGACAGAAAAAUAAUAGUAUGACAGAUUAAAGAGAUAGUUUGAAUCAAAGAGAGUGGAAGGAAAUAUUAUAGUUAAGGCUUGUAAGCUGAGGAAAGAAAAGAAUCUCAAUAGAAUUGUGCUUAAUGAAGGAACAUGUUUGGUGAGAACUUGAGAAAUAAUUAUGAAUUCAGUAAGGUGAUGACAGUUUCAUCCCUAGAAAUUCUACUUAGAGUCCUACUAGCUUAAGAUCUUCCAAAUCUAUUGUGGCUGUUACAUGCCAUCAAAUUUGAGAUAAGGCAGCAAGUGAGGGGACAUGAAGUAAAAAGAUAUAAAAGACACAGGAAAUAGCAAGGGACAAAUAGGAAUGGCUAGUUUAAAAUGAAUAAUAGGGUCAAUUUAGUUUAGUAUUUAUUGAGUGCCUGUUAUGCAUAAGGCUUUAUUGUACACAGUUGGGGAACAGAGAUAAUAAGACCAGGGGCUGGGAUUUCCAAGAGUUUAUAGUCCUCUUUGAAGAUGCCCAAGAAGGUAAAAUCCAUAGUAGAAAAUUUAGUGACUAAUGACAUGCUUUCCAAUUAAGAGGUCUUUGAAAGCAGAGCAUGGAAUUGUUCCCAUAGUACAUAUUAUCUGGUCCCUUCACAGGCUGAAAACUUUACCAGCAUAAACAGUGAUAUAGCUGUUCUAUAAUUAAUGAUCACCUGUCAGAAUGCACAGAGGAAGAAGUGGUACAGAUUUGGAGAGUUACCUUUACCUUCAGAAAAUGCAGAAAUUCUUUCCUAAAUUCUAUUGCCAAGACAUUCUCUAGAAGUAUUAGGAAAGUAUUUUUUCCCAAUAUAAUCUCUUAGAGAGAAAUGCUGUGAUAUUAUACUUUUCCAUCUUAAUUGAAUUUUCUUCUAGACAGCUUGACAUGAUGAAGGGUAUCCCUGAGGCCCUAAUUUAUUCAAGAUUAAUAAGUACAUCAUUGCAAGUGGGUAGUGAAUAUCUUGCAAAUGGUUAUUGCAAAAUAAUUAGUUGUACAUGUGUUCAAAGAGCUCUCAUUGCCUUAAAAUCUUGGGGCUUUUUAUUUGUAUUUUUCAAUAGAAAGAAAACAUACAUGCCUGUAAUCCCAGCGACUCAUGUGACUGAGGCAAAUUCAAGGCAAGCUUCAGCAACUUAGUGAGAUCCUAUCUUAAAAUAAAGAAUAAAAAGGGAUGGGGAUGUAGUUUGGUGGUAAAACAACCCUGGGUUCAUAGUAACAUUAAAGUGGAAAAAGAGUUAAGACAAAACUUCAGUUUUGCUAUAGUUUGGGUCUGGAAUGCUCCCUAAAUGCCUGUGUGUUCAAGGCUUGGUCCCCAACUUGGUGCUACUGAAGGUAGUGGAACCUUUAAGAGGUGGGGCCUAGUGGGAUGUCUUUAGGUUACUGGAGGUGUGCCCUUGAGGAGGAUUGUGGAAGCCCAGCCCCUGUCACAUCUUAGCUAUUAAGAGUAGUUUUGUUCUGACCAUGAUUUGCUGCCACAGGCCCAAAGCAACCAAGCAGAAUGAAACCUCUGAAUCUGUGAGCCAAAAUAAACUUAUCCCAAGUUGAUUAUCUCAGACAUUUGCUAUAGUAAGGUAACACCUCACAAGAUCUUCUACUAUUAAGUAGAUUUCAUAAUAAAUAAAUUUAAGUUAUUAAUGGCCUUUUCUCAAACAGGAAUAACUGCUAGAGAUGGGAUUUUUCUACUGAAAACUGAUUACAUUAAAGAGUUGCUAGAGACAUUUAGUGAUAAGCCAUCUAAAACCCUGCUGUGUCUAAUUACACCACAUGAAGUCCACCAAUCUACAAGCCAAGUUCAUAGACCAUGUACAUUAUCCUCAACCAUGAACAUUUUAAUAAAGCUUGCAAUGUGAAAUGAAGAGCCAAAAAUUAUAGAAAAGGUCACUUUAAAAAUAAACACACAUGGGGCUGGGGUUGUGGUUCAGUGAUAGAGCACUUGCAUGUGUGAGGUACUGGGUUCGAUUCUCAGCACCACAUAAAUAAAUAAAUUAAAUAAAGGUCUAUCAAUGUCCAAAAAAGUAUUUGAAAGAAACCACACACUUUGUAGGUAACUGAAAAAAAAUCUCUUAAAAUGUUGAAAAAAUACAGAGCUAAAAUUCUCAGAUAAAAAAGAGAUGAUACUAUAUUUGUGAAAUAAGAACAGGAUGCUAUAAAAAGAAAAUUGAGUACUCUCCUCCCCCACCAAUGGAAGCUCUUGGGAAUUAAAAAUAUCAUGGUAGGAAAGUAAAGUUUAAUAGACUAGAAGUUCUAUUAGAAGUGAAAUAUAAGAUAUAUAUUUUUUAAAAUAGAAGAUAUCAAAGAUCCAAUAUCUAAGUAAUGUAAGCUUCAGAAAGAGAUAACAGAAAAAAAUAUAUAAGAGAGAAAAAAACCACUCAGGACUGAAGAGUAUAAUUUUAAGAGAAAAUGCUUAUAAAGUAUCUAGACCAAUGGAAAAAAAAAGCCCCAACACCAAAUUACAGCAUCACUAAAUACCAGAGUAUAAGGAAUAAAGGAAAUCCUACAAAAUUCCAGAAUUCCAACAAAGUCCAAGGGAUCUAGAAUUAGAAUGGCAUCAAUUUCUCAAUAGCAUCCAAAUAAAGUGGAAGAAAAUGAAGAAAUGUGCUCAAAAUUUGGAAAGAGAAUUAUUUCCAAUUAAUAUCCCAAACCAUUAAUCCGGUGUGAAGGAAGCAAAGUGGCAUCUUAAAUGUGCAAGGUCUCAAAAAGCAGCUGGGUCUUUGGGAGACUGAGACUCAUAUGAUUUUGGGAGCCCUCUUUAAAAAAAGACUUAAAAUUACAAAUACAAAAUUAGGAAUAAAAGUGAAUAUUUAUUUAGAAUGAGAAAAGAAAUCAUAACAAACUAGGACCAUGGAGAGAUCUUUCUUUUUAAUAUCUCUUUAGAAAAUUUAUCUAAAAUGCUUCUUUAUGGCAACCUGGUUUUCUCUUUCACUGGGCAACUAGAAGCAAUUCACGGUACUCUUAGGGGCUCCAUGAGCUUUCUCAGUUCCUUGGUAAAUGUGCCUCUGCCUCCAUAUGCUGUUUAUCAGAAAGCUAUGUUUCAGUAAAACCAAGGAUAUGGUAUCUAAGAAAUGGGAAUUCAGCAUGCUUCCCAGCGUGGCAGUGAGGGGAAGUGCAGUAUAACUAGGAGCCUGAGAAUAACCAGUCUCUGAGAAUAGAGGACUGACUGGGGAUGUUUUCCAGAGAAAAAAUCAGAGUGAUUGAUUACUUUGAUUACUUGAUGUUUAUUGGAGAGUUAUGUAUUCUGUCAAACUUUAAGCAGGAAUUGGUGAUGGGUAUUCAAAACCCUAUGCAACUGAAGAAAAUGUCUAACCUAUACACAUCUUCCUGUAUAUUUAGACUGCUUAAAAACCUAAUACAAUACAAAUAGUAUGUACAUAAUUGUUAUACUGUUUUGUUCAGGGAAAAAUGACAUGGAAAAAAAGCCUGUACAUGUUCAAUAUGUAUAAUUGUGUGUGUGUGUGUGUGUACAUAUGAUACUAUAUAUAAUAUUCUAUAUAUAUAAUAUAAUAUUAGGGGAACUUUUUAAAAUUGUAUAAAUAUAUAUAAAAUAUAUAUUAUGUAUUAUAUGUAAUAUAUAAUAGAUACAUAAUUUUUUUGCAGUGCUGGGGAUUGAAUCCAGGUAUCCAGUGCUUUACCACUGAGUUACAUCCUUAGCCCUUUUCAUUUUGAGACAGGAUCUCAUUAAAUUGCCUGAGAUGGUUUUUAACUUACAAUCUUCCUGUCUCAACCUGAGGAGAGACUGGGAUUACAGGUGAACUCUACCCCAUUCUGCUGUAUAUUUAUAAUACCUUUGAUCUGUGGUUGAUUUUAUCUGUACAUGGGGAACCCCAGAAAUGGAAGUCUGACUGUAGUCAGCAUUUCUUGGGGAUAGACCUCAGAUUCUACAAUUUUAAAAAGUUCCCCUAGUCUCACGCAUUAUCUAUUGCUUUUUUAUAAAACAAACAAAAAUCAAACCAACCAAAUGACUCAUUUAGAAACAAGGAGUCUCUGACUCAUAAAGUAUAUUAUGGUGAUACUGCUAGUUGUUCACUCCCAAUAUGCAUUUACCUCUUCCUUAUUGACAGAAUUCCAGUUUUGCUGUACUGAUGACACAACCAAGCCAAACAGUAGAUUUUCCUAGCUUCCCUUCCAGUUGGAGUGGCUAUGUGACAUAGUUUCAGUCUAUGAAAUAUAAGAAUUCUACUGGGUGGAGUUUCCAGGAAAGAUAUUAAUUAAUAACAAUAAUUAAUAUUAAAA